ensembl:ncRNA R13H4.11 ncRNA
GAUGAUUCCGCACCAUCAACCGGUGUACGAAGACACUGUUAAAUAUAGAGAGAAAGAAGACACAUAAAGAAAUGAUGAUUCAGUCGGGUUGGCCGGUCGGUCAGUCAGCGGGUGACGAGUGAGCGGAGAGAAGGGUAUAAGAACGGACGAGCGGCGGGAAUAGAGGACGAAGAGGCAAGGACACUGGUCAAUGGAGAUGAAGAGACACAGACAUUGGGACGGACGGAAGCAGGACGGUUCCCUUCGGGAUGAGCAGAGACUCGACAGAUGGAGAAGAUGACCGAAUUGAGUUUGUUUGCCCGACUCCCAUGGAUUAUAAAAUUGGGUACGUAUGGCCUAUGUUGGGGCAACUGCAGCAGCAGCGUGUGAGUGUGCGCCCCGGAAAUAAAGGACUUUUAUGGAAGGAGUAUUGAGAAGAUGAUGGAAAAGGGACAAAAAGUUUCCCUUUUGUUUUGACGUCUUCUACGUCUUAUUCGGAGAUUUCGAGGGAUAAUUCUGA